AAGUCGUAACAAGGUCUCCGUUGGUGAACCAGCGGAGGGAUCAUUACAGAGUUAUAACAAACUCCCAAAACCAUUGUGAACUUACCUAUGUUGCCUCGGCGGGGAAACCUACCCGGUACCGGACAGGUCAACUACCCUGUAGUUACCCUGUACUUACCCUGUAGCCGGAAGCACCCUACCCUGUAGGGCGCUGCAGGUCGUGUACCCGCCGAAGGACCAUCUUCAAACUCUUGUUUUUAUGUGAGAACUCUGAGUUAUUAUAUUUAAUAAGUUAAAACUUUCAACAACGGAUCUCUUGGCUCUG
rnacentral:misc_RNA from 1 species